rnacentral:rRNA from 1 species
GAUGAACGCUGGCGGCGUGCCUAAUACAUGCAAGUCGAGCGAACGGACGAGAAGCUUGCUUCUCUGAUGUUAGCGGCGGACGGGUGAGUAACACGUGGAUAACCUACCUAUAAGACUGGGAUAACUUCGGGAAACCGGAGCUAAUACCGGAUGAUAUUUUGAACCGCAUGGUUCAAAACUGAAAGACGGUCUUGCUGUCACUUAUAGAUGGAUCCGCGCUGCAUUAGCUAGUUGGUAAGGUAACGGCUUACCAAGGCAACGAUGCAUAGCCGACCUGAGAGGGUGAUCGGCCACACUGGAACUGAGCCACGGUCCAGACUACUACGGGAGGCAGCAGUCGGGAAUCUUCCGCAAUGGGCGAAAGCCUGACGGAGCAACGCCGCGUGAGUGAUGACGGUGUUCGGAUCGUAAAACUCUGUUAUUAGGGAAGAACAUAUGUGUAAGUAACUGUGCACAUCUUGACGGUACCUAAUCAGAAAGCCACGGCUAACUACGUG